CCAAUUGUUUCCACCUGUUGUCAGUAAGUGGAAAACUAACAAGUAAGAAGGCUACAGUCGAGUGUGCUCGGCUGUGAGAUACCCGCUACCCAUUUUGAAUAAAAGCAAAAUGUUGGGGUAUCAUUCUCAAAAUAUACCAAAACAUUAUACCACAAAAAUACAUAAAAAUAUUUUAAAUGGUAUAUUUGGUAUAUUGAUAUAGUAUUACAUUCGAGAUAUAUUAUAGAGUACCAAAUAUACCAGAUUGAUGUCCAAAGCAACUAAGACCCCUAGUAAGUAUGCGUAUUUGCCCAUACAAAAAUAUUUCUUUAAUAACUUCGACAAUUUUUAUCUGGACGCAGCCAAAUUUUAUGUGGGCAGAAGUGGGCGUGAUAAACAUUUGAUCUACCUGUGAAUAAGCAAGGGUUGUCGAAAAAAUGUGUAGCUCUUAUAAUCUCUGAGAUCAAAGUGUUCAUACGGACAGACAGACAGACGGACAUGGACAGAUCGUCUCGGCUGUUGAUGCUGAUCAAGAAUAUGAAUACUUUUUAGGGUCGGAGAUCCCUCCCUAUGCCUGUUACAUACAUUUCCUGUCGGCAUAAAGCUAUGGAUUAUACCCUUCUCCCUAUUGGUAGCGGGUAUAAAAACUCAGAAUGCUUCGAGAAUAUUUUAUGAUUGUAUCAAGAAUUUCUCCCAAACGAUUCGUAAUUUAAAAUAAAUUGAAAACUUAAUCGUUCGUUUUAUUUCAGUUGAAAUAGUUCAAAGUAGACAUUUUACAAUUGUUAAAAGUCUAUUUACCUUAUAAACAUCAUAGUUCGAUAUAAUAGAAUCGCAGCAUGUAUACAAAUCGUUUAGCAUUUCAACUACUUCAAAAGUUCUUUUAGAUGCAUUCUAACAAGUCGUAUAUCGGGACGGACUUCAGGAUCUUCUUCCCAGCAAAGUCGCAAGCAUUGCCGUAUAUAGUUUGGUAUAUCAAGGUAGCUAAGAGCUGGGCGAAACACUCCAUGUUGCACACUGCAGAUAAAAUCUUACCUUCAUUGGUAUAUGUAGUUUCACCCCAGGUUCCAUUACGCCCAAUCAUCUCGUAUAGUAAAAUGCCAAAGGAGUAAAUAUCGCCCUUCUGGGAACCACGGGCUGGUCUCAAAGAAUUUCUUAAAAGUUCAGGUGCCAUGGUAAGGGAGCGUUUCAUUUCCAAUUCAAUUCUGUAAUAAAUUCACUGUAACCGCAUAUUUUUAUUUAUAUUUUAUAUUUGUACUUAUUGGGUUCAUCCUGGCCGGCUUUUAAUUCAUGGAGUCCAAAAUCAGAGAUUUGGCAUACCCAUCGAGAAUCGAUAAGACAGUUGCUAGACCUUAGAUUUCCGUGCGAUAUUAUCUCCGAAUCGUCGACGAUGUUUCCACGAAAAAGAGCUUUUGCAAAAUGUUGUUGUUUAUUGACUUUCAAAAAGUGCACAUACUUUACAUACCAAUGUUUGUGAAUGAUCUUUUAUUUGGUUCUCCAACAACCAGAAUACUUUGUCGACAU